UUCAAAUAAUAAUAAUAAAAAGACUUCCAGAGAGAAAGGUUUGGUGUGGCCUAACCAAAGUCCAGAACCAAAUCUAACACAUAUGUUGUGGGUCGCCUGAAGAGGUCUGUGGAUCAGAGAUGUUUCACAAUCUGAAAUCUACGAGGAGAAAAGCUGGCCUCAUCAGGAGUGUGCAGACUUACAGGUGAUCAAACUUUAGCUGUGUCCUUAUCCGUUUCGUAAGAAGCCAUGCGCGCGCACGUCCUGACUCCUCCUCGACAGUGGUCCUGAUGCUAGUUCUCGGGGACGCGCGUUACGUCACCACUCGCUGCGUGGGUCACCUCGCUGCCCGCAUCCAGCGACAGGCUCUGCAUCCUUUCGCGUGGGCGAGCGCGUGCUGUCCACCUUGCGCUGGCGGAGAGUUGCAAGAAUGGCCGAGAGCGAGGCAGACACGCCGAGCACACCGAUCGAGUUUGAGAGUAAAUACUUCGAGUUUGAUGGAGUGCGGCUGCCGCCCUUCUGCAGAGGGAAGAUGGAGGACAUCUCCAACUUCUCCCUGAGAAGUAGCGACAUAUGGAUUGUUACCUACCCGAAAUCAGGAACCAGUCUGCUGCAGGAAGUUGUGUUUCUAGUGAGUCAGGGAGCAGAUCCUGAUGAGAUUGGCCUUAUGAACAUCGAUGAGCAGCUACCUGUCAUAGAAUACCCUCAGCCUGGGCUGGAUGUCAUACAGGAGCUGACCUCUCCUCGCUUGAUAAAAAGCCAUCUACCCUACCGAUUUCUCCCUACAGCUAUGCACAACGGAGAGGCCAAGGUUAUCUACAUGGCCAGGAACCCCAAAGACCUGGUGGUGUCCUACUAUCAGUUCCACCGCUCUCUCAGGACCAUGAGCUACCGUGGAACUUUUCAGGAAUUCUGUCGGCGCUUCAUGAAUGAUAAAUUGGCUUAUGGUUCCUGGUUUGAACAUGUUCAGGAAUUUUGGGAGCAUCGUUUGGACUCCAAUGUCCUCUUCCUGAAAUAUGAAGACAUGUUCAAGAACCUUGGGACGAUGGUGGAGCAUCUGGCCCGGUUCCUCGGUGUUUCCUGUGAUAAAACUCAGCUGGAAGUUCUGGUGGAAAACUGCAACCAACUGAUUGAGCAAUGCUGCAAAUCUGAGGCACUGUCUAUCUCUAGCUUGAGUUGAAAUCUGGUGUCUGACCUGUUGCUCUGAUCUGUGUCAUGUCACGUCACAUCAGGUCGUGUGGGUGUGUGGAGGGACGUCUUCACUGUGUCCAUGAAUGAGACAUUUGAUGCUUAUUACAGACAGAAGAUGGCCAAAUCUGACCUAAGCUUUGACUUCUGCCUGUGAGGACAGCUGUACCUCUCUCACCAAAGACUCUCACUCCCUUGAUACCACUGAUCUCUAUAAGUGAUCAUAUCUUGUAGAGAUAUGAUCUGCAUUUCCAUCAGCUCAAUCAGUCUGAAGUUUAACUGUGCAGUCUGAGAGUAGAUUGACCUUCUAAAAAGGUUCCACAGAAAUCACACUUUCAACCAAACAGAAAUCACUGUGUAACUUCUAAAAUAUCAAUGAUCAGUUCCAAAAUUCACUAUAUUUGUUGAGGCUGCUGUGUACAUUUGGGUUACUGUGGAAACAAGCAGGUUCUACAAACCACAGAAAGCAAGAAGUAUUUGGAUCAUGCAGUAUUUACAUCUACUUCCUUUCCACUUGGAAGCAGAUAGUUUCUAACUUCCAGCUGGACUCUGGCCUUGUUCCAGAGACUGUUUGGUUUAAUAAACAAGACAAAUCACAUUGUGUUCAACAUCCACAAAAAUGGUGUCAGGUCUGCAAUAUUUCCAAUGUUAUUGCUUCUUUAUGUACACAUAUGAAUGUGUUGUUGUACUGUUACAUUCAGCUGAUGUGAGUCAACAUUCACUGACAUCUCAGGAAUUUGACAGUUGUGAGCUUUCUUCUGAGAGUUGACUCUGUCUCCAUUCCAAUUCUCCUGUCUUUAUCUUCUUCCUGUAAAUGUUAGGUGAACUGUGCUGUGCAAACUAAUUUUCACUGCUUAGAGUCUAGCACAUUACAAAAAUUCAGUAUAUUCUUAACAGAAAUGAAGGACAUUUGUUGGGUUUAUUGUUUAUCUUGAAACAAUGUUUCUUGGCAAUAGAUCUUAAACCACUGAAAAGUCUUCGUCAUUUCUCUUGUGCAGCAAAGCUGAGACUUUGGAUGGCUGAACAGAUUAUGUCUGUCAAUGUUUGGUGUCAUUUAUUGAAUUGACUGACUGUUGAAUAAGAGACAAGACAUUUUGGUUAUCUAACAAUUUAUCAAACAAGGGCCUGCUGCUCAAAUUACAAACACAUUUUCCUUACAAAUGUGCCACAAUACAACUGGCUCCCCAACAGUACAUGAUUUAUUGCCAAGAAGCAUUCUAGCAGCAAAGACCAACCAACAAACACAAAAUUCUUUAUUGUUUGACUUAAGUUGAGCCUGAGAUAAUUGUGGGUGGAGGUGUUUUAUAGAAAUUCUCAUGGGCAACCACUUUCCCAUUAUAUACUCCUUUUGACCACCCCACUACUGUAUACUUUUGUUGGCACUGGGAAGAUCUGUGAAGUAAAUACGAACAUCGGAACCAA